GUGAGGAAUAUUGGACAAUGGGCGCAAGCCUGAUCCAGCCAUGCCGCGUGCAGGAAGACGCAUCUAUGGUGUGUAAACUGCUUUUGUACGGGAAGAAACACUCCCUCGUGAGGGAGCUUGACGGUACCGUAAGAAUAAGGAUCGGCUAACUCCGUGCCAGCAGCCGCGGUAAUACGGAGGAUCCAAGCGUUAUCCGGAAUCAUUGGGUUUAAAGGGUCCGUAGGCGGUUUAAUAAGUCAGUGGUGAAAGCCCAUCGCUCAACGAUGGAACGGCCAUUGAUACUGUUAGACUGGAAUUACAAGGAAGUAACUAGAAUAUGUAGUGUAGCGGUGAAAUGCUUAGAUAUUACAUGGAAUACCAAUUGCGAAGGCAGGUUACUACUUGUGGAUUGACGCUGAUGGACGAAAGCGUGGGGAGCGAACAGGAUUAGAUACCCUGGUAGUCC
rnacentral:rRNA from 1 species